GAUGAACGCUGGCGGCGUGCCUAACACAUGCAAGUCGAACGGAGAUUACGGACGGAAGUUUUCGGAUGGAAGCCUGUAAUUCUUAGUGGCGGACGGGUGGGUAACGCGUGGGCAACCUGCCCUAUACAGGGGGAUAGCAGCUGGAAACGGCUGGUAAGACCGCAUAAGUCGGUUAAAUCGCAUGAUUUGAUCGGGAAAUGAGCAAUCAGGUAUAGGAUGGGCCCGCGUCCGAUUAGCCAGUUGGCAGGGUAAAAGCCUACCAAAGCGACGAUCGGUAGCCGGACUGAGAGGUCGGACGGCCACAUUGGGACUGAGACACGGCCCAAACUCCUACGGGAGGCAGCAGUGGGGGAUAUUGCACAAUGGAGGAAACUCUGAUGCAGCGACGCCGCGUGAGUGAAGAAGUAUUUCGGUAUGUAAAGCUCUAUCAGCAGGGAAGAUGAUGACGGUACCUGACUAAGAAGCCCCGGCUAACUACGUG
rnacentral:rRNA from 1 species